UUGAACGCUGGCGGCAGGCCUAACACAUGCAAGUCGAACGGUAACAGGAAGCAGCUUGCUGCUUUGCUGACGAGUGGCGGACGGGUGAGUAAUGUCUGGGAAACUGCCUGAUGGAGGGGGAUAACUACUGGAAACGGUAGCUAAUACCGCAUAACGUCGCAAGACCAAAGAGGGGGACCUUAGGGCCUCUUGCCAUCGGAUGUGCCCAGAUGGGAUUAGCUAGUAGGUGGGGUAAAGGCUCACCUAGGCGACGAUCCCUAGCUGGUCUGAGAGGAUGACCAGCCACACUGGAACUGAGACACGGUCCAGACUCCUACGGGAGGCAGCAGUGGGGAAUAUUGCACAAUGGGCGCAAGCCUGAUGCAGCCAUGCCGCGUGUAUGUAGAAGGCCUUCGGGUUGUAAAGUACUUUCAGCGGGGAGGAAGGGAGUAAAGUUAAUACCUUUGCUCAUUGACGUUACCCGCAGAAGAAGCACCGGCUAACUCCGUGCCAGCAGCCGCGGUAAUACGGAGGGUGCAAGCGUUAAUCGGAAUUACUGGGCGUAAAGCGCACGCAGGCGGUUUGUUAAGUCAGAUGUGAAAUCCCCGGGCUCAACCUGGGAACUGCAUCUGAUACUGGCAAGCUUGAGUCUCGUAGAGGGGGGUAGAAUUCCAGGUGUAGCGGUGAAAUGCGUAGAGAUCUGGAGGAAUACCGGUGGCGAAGGCGGCCCCCUGGACGAAGACUGACGCUCAGGUGCGAAAGCGUGGGGAGCAAACAGGAUUAGAUACCCUGGUAGUCCACGCCGUAAACGAUGUCGACUUGGAGGUUGUGCCCUUGAGGCGUGGCUUCCGGAGCUAACGCGUUAAGUCGACCGCCUGGGGAGUACGGCCGCAAGGUUAAAACUCAAAUGAAUUGACGGGGGCCCGCACAAGCGGUGGAGCAUGUGGUUUAAUUCGAUGCAACGCGAAGAACCUUACCUGGUCUUGACAUCCACGGAAGUUUUCAGAGAUGAGAAUGUGCCUUCGGGAACCGUGAGACAGGUGCUGCAUGGCUGUCGUCAGCUCGUGUUGUGAAAUGUUGGGUUAAGUCCCGCAACGAGCGCAACCCUUAUCCUUUGUUGCCAGCGGUCCGGCCGGGAACUCAAAGGAGACUGCCAGUGAUAAACUGGAGGAAGGUGGGGAUGACGUCAAGUCAUCAUGGCCCUUACGACCAGGGCUACACACGUGCUACAAUGGCGCAUACAAAGAGAAGCGACCUCGCGAGAGCAAGCGGACCUCAUAAAGUGCGUCGUAGUCCGGAUUGGAGUCUGCAACUCGACUCCAUGAAGUCGGAAUCGCUAGUAAUCGUGGAUCAGAAUGCCACGGUGAAUACGUUCCCGGGCCUUGUACACACCGCCCGUCACACCAUGGGAGUGGGUUGCAAAAGAAGUAGGUAGCUUAACCUUCGGGAGGGCGCUUACCACUUUGUGAUUCAUGACUGGGGUG
rnacentral:rRNA from 1 species